UACGGAGGGGGCUAGCGUUGUUCGGAAUUACUGGGCGUAAAGCGCGCGUAGGCGGACCUGCAAGUCGGGGUGAAAGCCCGAGGCUCAACCUCGGAACUGCCUUCGAUACUGCGGGUCUCGAGUCCGGGAGAGGUGAGUGGAAUUCCUAGUGUAGAGGUGAAAUUCGUAGAUAUUAGGAAGAACACCAGUGGCGAAGGCGGCUCACUGGCCCGGCACUGACGCUGAGGCGCGAAAGCGUGGGGAGCAACAGG
rnacentral:rRNA from 1 species